GGAGGUGUAGCUCAAGUGGUAGAGUGUAUGCUUAGCAUGCACAAGGUCCUGGGUUCAAUCCCCAGUACCACCC
rnacentral:tRNA from 1 species